CAAAAUGUCCUCACUCUGUGGGUUGUGGGCUCAAACUGGUCCUCACAAAGAUAGCUGUACAAAAGCAUGCACGCACACACACACAGGCAUACCUGGCAUUAACAUUUAUCUUGAGAGAGCCAAUGUUUGUUGUGUCAGUACCUUGUGGAGAAGCACAUAUCAUCUGAAAAAUGUGGUUUGUUGUACGGCUGACAGAAAUCUGCACUCCAGUUCCUGCGAAGACGCACAGAAGCGUCAUCAGCCCCAUCACUCACUUCUACAGACUUUAUACAAGGAGGCCAGGCGGAGAAAGUCUGCAGAAACUACAGAGCGUCUCACAUAAUGAGGGCUGAUGAGUCUGAAGGGCACCGCUGUGCUGACCAAUGGAAGAAAGAAGAA